GACGAGGGAUGCAAGCGUUAUCCGGAUUCAUUGGGUUUAAAGGGAGCGUAGGCGGAUUGGUAAGUCAGUGGUGAAAUCUUUGGGCUUAACCCAGAAACUGCCAUUGAUACUGCUGAUCUAGAGUACAGUUGCCGUUGGCGGAAUAUGACAUGUAGUGGUGAAAUACUUAGAUAUGUCAUAGAACACCGAUUGCGAAGGCAGCUAACGAAGCUGUAACUGACGCUGAGGCUCGAAAGUGCGGGGAUCAAACAGG
rnacentral:rRNA from 1 species